CUGUAGCAAGGUUAACCGAAUAGGGGAGCCGGAGGGAAACCGAGUCUUAAUUGGGCGUUAAGUUGCAGGGUAUAGACCCGAAACCCGGUGAUCUAGCCAUGGGCAGGUUGAAGGUUGGGUAACACUAACUGGAGGACCGAACCGACUAAUGUUGAAAAAUUAGCGGAUGACCUGUGGCUGGGGGUGAAAGGCCAAUCAAACCGGGAGAUAGCUGGUUCUCCCCGAAAGCUAUUUAGGUAGCGCCUCGUGAAUUCAUCUCCGGGGGUAGAGCACUGUUUCGGCUAGGGGGCCAUCCCGGCUUACCAACCCGAUGCAAACUGCGAAUACCGGAGAAUGUUAUCACGGGAGACACACGGCGGGUGCUAACGUCCGUCGUGAAGAGGGAAACAACCCAGACCGCCAGCUAAGGUCCCAAAGUCAUGGUUAAGUGGGAAACGAUGUGGGAAGGCCCAGACAGCCAGGAUGUUGGCUUAGAAGCAGCCAUCAUUUAAAGAAAGCGUAAUAGCUCACUGGUCGAGUCGGCCUGCGCGGAAGAUGUAACGGGGCUAAACCAU
rnacentral:rRNA from 1 species